UACAGAGGGGGCAAGCGUUGUCCGGAAUUACUGGGCGUACAGCGCGCGCAGGCGGUCUUGGACGUGCCGUGUGACAUCCGUCGGCUCAACCGACGGAGGCCAGGGUACACGACAAGACUGGAGACAGAGAGAGGGAUGUGGAAUACCCGGUGGAGCGGUGAAAUGCGUAGAGAUCGGGUGGAACACCAGGGCGAAGGCGGCAUCCUGGCUCUGUUCUGACGCUGGAGGCGCGAGAGCGUGGGGAGCAAACCGG
rnacentral:rRNA from 1 species